GUUAUGCCUGUUUGGUUUUAGGUUGGGGUGACCACGGAGUAUAAAACAACCUCCAUGAAAAAAGGACCAAAAAUCCUUAUUAGAGAAAGACAUUUCUAAAAUUAAUAAAUUAAUUUUUAAUGAUCCGAUAUUCGAUCAACGAACCAAGUUACCCUGGGGAUAACAGCGCAAUCCACUUCAAGAGCUCCUAUCGACAAGUGGGUUUACGACCUCGAUGUUGGAUCAGGGUAUCCUAGUGGUGCAGCAGCUACUAACGGUUCGUUUGUUCAACGAUUAA
rnacentral:rRNA from 1 species